GACGUAGGGCGCGAGCGUUGUCCGGAUUUACUGGGCGUAAAGAGCGCGCAGGCGGUCGUUCAAGUCGCGUGUGAAAGCCCCCGGCUCAACUGGGGAGGGUCACGCGAUACUGAUCGACUCGAAGGCAGGAGAGGGUAGUGGAAUUCCAGGUGUAGCGGUGAAAUGCGUAGAUAUCUGGAGGAGCACCGGUGGCGAAGGCGGCAUCCUGGACCGACACUGACGCUGAGGAGCGAAAGCCAGGGGAGCAAACGGG
rnacentral:rRNA from 1 species